AUGUGUGAGAAACUUAUUCCUGCGAUCCAAGAGCGCUGGCCGGACGAAGAUGAAGGACGGACAAUCUAUAUCCAACAAGAUAAUGCCACACCACAUAUUCUUCCCAAUGACCCGGUUUUCCGACAAGUCAUAGAACAAACUGAUUUGAAUAUUAAGUUGCUUCAACAGCCUCCAAAUAGUCCCGACAUGAACAUUCUUGAUCUCUGCAUAUUCAGGUCUCUCCAGUCCCACACCGAUAGCAGAGCACCUCAAAGCAUUAGGGAACUGAUAGAAGGUGUGGAGGAGGAAUAUCGAAACUACCCGGUUGAUAAGCUAGCUAGAAGCUUCGUGACGCUGCAGUCAUGCAUCCGAGAGGUAAUGAGAAACAAAGGAGCGAUAAACUACUCGAUCCCUCACAUGAGCAAGGAACGCCGGCAGGCAAAAGGACGGCUUCCUAUAGCUCUAUCUAUCGACCGUGAGCUAGUUAAACAGACCAUAGCCUUUAUAGAAGAGGCAGAAGCAAUCUUAGCAGCAGAAAAAGAGCAGAAGCAGCAGGAAAAGAGCAGCAAGAAAAGAGCCGCAGCAGCCACCAAGAAGCAGAAACACCCUUCGAAUACCAGCAGCCUCCAAGCAGCAGGAAAAGAGAAGUAG
rnacentral:rRNA from 1 species